rnacentral:misc_RNA from 1 species
AAGAACAUCUCAGUAUCAGUAACCCGGUCCAAUCCCAAAGCAUAAUUAUCCUCAUCUGAUUCACCGGACAAUGUGUGCAGCUUCUGGAGAACUCUCUUUCUCAUCCUCUGUUGGGUCUCAUCCUCAAAGCGUAGAUUUAGAAUUCUCGUUGCUUCAGAUUCUUCCCCUUCUCUGGGCUCCCGGCAGGACCCAUCUCCCCAACCAAGAACCCAAUCACCGGACUUUGAAUAUGAUAUCUGCCAAAAUAUUGCAUAAUUCCAGCUGAAGUUUGAUGCGUUGGGAUGGUCCACAAGAUCCGAGAGCUUGUUCUGCAAAUUCUCGUCGCUGCCUAUAGCCAUUAACAGGUUCUCAUUGGAGACUGAGUUUGAUAUCAAGUAAUUGAAAGCCUUUGUACCCAAAACAGCAGCAACCAUGGCCCUAUCUUCAUCGUUCCACGCCCCACCUCCCAU